UAGGUAAUCUUCCGCAAUGGACGAACGUCUGACGGAGCACCGCCGCGUCAGUGAAGAAGGAUUUCGGAUCGUAAAGCUCUGUUGGUAGGGAAGAAAAAAUGUAUAGUAACUAUAUACAAAAGAGACGGUACCUAACCAGAAAGCCACGGCUAACUACGUGCCAGCAGCUGCGGUAAUACGUAGGUGGCAAGCGUUGUCCGGAAUUAUUGGGCGUAAAGCGCGCGCAGGUGGUUUAGAAAGCCUGAUGUGAAAGCCCACGGCUCAACCGUGGAGGGUCAUUGGAAACUAAUAAACUUGAGUGCAGGAGAACAAAUUGGAAUUCCUAGUGGAGCGGUGAAAUGCGUAGCGAUUAGGAGGAACACCGGUGGCGAAAGCGGCUUUUUGGCCUGCAACUGACCCUGAGGCGCGAAAGCGUGGGGAGCAAACAGG
rnacentral:rRNA from 1 species